rnacentral:rRNA from 1 species
GAUGAACGCUGGCGGCGUGCCUAAUACAUGCAAGUCGAACGCAUAGCGAAAGGUGCUUGCACCUUUCAAGUGAGUGGCGAACGGGUGAGUAACACGUGGACAACCUGCCUCAAGGCUGGGGAUAACAUUUGGAAACAGAUGCUAAUACCGAAUAAAACUUAGUGUCGCGUGACACAAAGUUAAAAGGCGCUUCGGCGUCACCUAGAGAUGGAUCCGCGGUGCAUUAGUUAGUUGGUGGGGUAAAGGCCUACCAAGACAAUGAUGCAUAGCCGAGUUGAGAGACUGAUCGGCCACAUUGGGACUGAGACACGGCCCAAACUCCUACGGGAGGCUGCAGUAGGGAAUCUUCCGCAAUGGGCGAAAGCCUGAUGGAGCAACGCCGCGUGUGUGAUGAAGGCUUUCGGGUCGUAAAGCACUGUUGUAUGGGAAGAACAGCUAGAAUAGGAAAUGAUUUUAGUUUGACGGUACCAUACCAGAAAGGGACGGCUAAAUACGUG